GUACACUUAGCUUUGUGGUUAGAGCUUCACUCUUAUAUGUUGAGGCUCCAGAUUCAAUUCCUGCAGUGCACA
rnacentral:tRNA from 1 species